UUUUAAAAUGGGCUUUGUGUUUAUAUGGGCUUAAUCAUGUGUUUUGAUUUGUGUUGGUUUGUGUUGAUUUGGCCCAUAGAUUAGAGGUUCUCGAUAUUUUUUUUCAGAUCACACGCGAUCCUUAUUCAUCUUGCUCUUCCUCUUUCUCUUCCGUUCUUCUGCAUUUAUGGUGGGCGUUAACGCACGAUUGGGCAUUUCUUCUAUCACCGAAACGAUUCGGCCUUCCGUAACGAUUCUUGAAUCCUCCUUUAUAAAGAGCACUCGAGCUGCCUUAGCCGCCGUCACUACCGUCGCCCCUGUCUCCGCCGUCACCGCCGCCUCUGCAGAUGCCGCCAUCUCCGUCACCGCCAACGUCUCCGUCGCCGCCACCGUUCCCUACACCAUCUUUAUCCCCAAGUCUAUGCUGGUGCAAGUGGUGCAGUUGCAGUUUUGAAAGCAAAUGAGGAUGCGUUUGAGGAGCAAAUGGAAAGACUACCGUCAGCAACACAUUAUUUUUGGGAACUUCCUCCUGAACUAAAAUUCCCCUUAUGCAAAGAAAAUAUGAGAGAUGCUGCUUUGACAAGCAAAUGCUGUUUCCAAAGCUUCUGUGACAAUUGUAGGUUCUCUUGUGAGUUGUGAAUACAACUGAUGCCUUUCCUGGAGGAAGCUUACCAAGUCCGGCACUUCUGUUGAACCAAUGUGUUUCUUCCAAAGUGACAAGAGUCAUCAGGUGACACGGAAAGGACAGUGCCACUUUUGUGGUCUUCCACAGAGAUAUGGCAAAACUCAUCAAGACAGAUACAUCAAGUCUAGCUCUUGAGUAGAGUAGCAGCAGCAACCCACCUCCAGUCGUGCACAUUGAAUCUGGACAAGCAACAGAACCUGCCAGCAACAAGGGUGUGCACCAAAGAUUUCAUUGGGAGUUGCUGAAGCAAGUCCGCCAGGUUCUGCAGCGGACGAGAACAAACGCAAAUGCCCGUUGAGUGAUUCUCCUAAGGCCAUCUAACCGUCAACCCCGCUUAGCUUUCGUUUCAUUCCAAUUGUCUAUUUCCACAUGUUUUCUCUACUUUGAACUUUGGUUAUCUCUUUGAUUUGCUGUAAAUGGUUUCUUACUGGUGUAAGAGUUAAUAAAGAUAGUAUUCACA